CGGGCUCAAACGACGGAGGAAUACUUUUGAAAGGAGGUAGCCAGCAAUGGUCUCCGUCGAGGUGCUGCAUGGUUGUCGUCAGCUCGUGCCGUGAGGUGUCGGCUUAAGUGCCAUAACGAGCGCAACCCCCACCGACAGUUGCUAACUGGUGAAGCAGAGGACUCUGUCGGGACUGCCGGCGCAAGCUGCGAGGAAGGCGGGGAUGACGUCAAAUCAGCACGGCCCUUACGUCCGGGGCGACACACGUGUUACAAUGGCAGGUACAGCGGGAAGCCAUAUGGCGACAUAGAGCGGAACCCGAAAACCUGUCUCAGUUCGGAUCGGAGUCUGCAACUCGACUCCGUGAAGCUGGAUUCGCUAGUAAUCGCGCAUCAGCCACGGCGCGGUGAAUACGUUCCCGGGCC
rnacentral:rRNA from 1 species